rnacentral:rRNA from 1 species
UACGUAGGGCGCAAGCGUUAUCCGGAUUUAUUGGGCGUAAAGGGCUCGUAGGCGGUUCGUCGCGUCUGGUGUGAAAGUCCAUCGCUUAACGGUGGAUCUGCGCCGGGUACGGGCGGGCUGGAGUGCGGCAGGGGAGACUGGAAUUCCCGGUGUAACGGUGGAAUGUGUAGAUAUCGGGAAGAACACCAAUGGCGAAGGCAGGUCUCUGGGCCGUUACUGACGCUGAGGAGCGAAAGCGUGGGGAGCGAACAGG